rnacentral:tRNA from 1 species
UCCAAUGUGGUGUAGUGGCUAACAUUGCUGUCUUUCAUUCAUAAGGGCUUGUGAAUCGCACAGCAGCCCGGGGUUCGAUUCCCCGCAUUGGAA